UUAAAAGCCCUAUGGCUGACACAGCCACAGAGAUAUCGAUAUCAUCAGCAAGUUCGAUCAUUCUGUUGCAAAAUCUUUCCGUGAAAAGCCCUAGUGAUGGCACGUUAUCAUCAACUUCAUAAAGACUCUGUAAGGCAAGAACCGAAGUUUUCCGAACACCAGCACUUUUGUCGUUCAGCGUCCAGCCUAGAUAUUUUAAGUAUAAAUCUUGUAAGAAUAGUGAAGG
rnacentral:misc_RNA from 1 species